rnacentral:rRNA from 1 species
UGGGGAAUCUUGGGCAAUGGGGGCAACCCUGAUCCAGCCAUGCCGCGUGAUCGAUGAAGGCCUUAGGGUUGUAAAGAUCUUUCAGCUGGGAAGAUAAUGACGGUACCAGCAGAAGAAGCCCCGGCUAACUCCGUGCCAGCAGCCGCGGUAAUACGGAGGGGGCUAGCGUUGUUCGGAAUUACUGGGCGUAAAGCGCACGUAGGCGGAUUGGCAAGUUGGGGGUGAAAUCCCAGGGCUCAACCCUGGAACUGCCUCCAAAAACUUCCAGUCUUGAGGUCGAGAGAGGUGAGUGGAAUUCCGAGUGUAGAGGUGAAAUUCGUAGAUAUUCGGAGGAACACCAGUGGCGAAGGCGGCUCACUGGCUCGAUACUGACGCUGAGGUGCGAAAAGCGUGGGGAGCAAACAGGAUUAGAUACCCUGGUAGUCCACGCCCGUAAACGAUGAGAGCUAGACGUCGGGCGGCUUGCCGUUCGGUGUCGCAGUUAACGCAUUAAGCUCUCCGCCUGGGGAGUACGGCCGCAAGGUUAAAAC